rnacentral:rRNA from 1 species
AUUGAACGCUGGCGGCAGGCCUAACACAUGCAAGUCGAGCGGAUGAAGGGAGCUUGCUCCUGGAUUCAGCGGCGGACGGGUGAGUAAUGCCUAGGAAUCUGCCUGGUAGUGGGGGAUAACGUCCGGAAACGGGCGCUAAUACCGCAUACGUCCAGAGGGAGAAAGUGGGGGAUCUUCGGACCUCACGCUAUCAGAUGAGCCUAGGUCGGAUUAGCUAGUUGGUGGGGUAAAGGCCUACCAAGGCGACGAUCCGUAACUGGUCUGAGAGGAUGAUCAGUCACACUGGAACUGAGACACGGUCCAGACUCCUACGGGAGGCAGCAGUGGGGAAUAUUGGACAAUGGGCGAAAGCCUGAUCCAGCCAUGCCGCGUGUGUGAAGAAGGUCUUCGGAUCGUAAAGCACUUUAAGUUGGGAGGAAGGGCAGUAAGUUAAUACCUUGCUGUUUUGACGUUACCAACAGAAUAAGCACCGGCUAACUUCGUG